UUUCGGUCGGUAGCUGUAUGUUUGCGUGUACCGCUGGCUGUUGCUUUUACUGAAAACAAGGAUUAAUGCGUAUUUUCUUAUCUUCAAGAUGUAGGAGGUUUUGCUGACAGAAGGAACGUCGUGAGAAAUAACAUCAACACAUCACUAAGCGUCUUGCUGUUACUACUAAUACGAGAUUCUCAGUUGACGUGGAAGAUUAAAUUAUCAUAAGGCGUAAGAUUGUUGUAGCACGAAACCUGCGCGCACAGAUACGCAUUUCUUUUUUGUCGCCAUUCAAUGUGACCUCUGGUGUAUAGAAGAGAAAGCUGUCACACAAGCCUCUACCGGCGAACCAGAAGCAUUGUGUGAGUUGUUCGCGCCGAGAGCAGUGAGCGGCAUUUGAGCAGUGAUUGUUGGAAAGUUUUUUUAAAUUUAUAAACCGUGUGUAAACGAGUGAUAAAGGUUAAUUUAUUUGAAUUUAAAAUCAAAUGUCAUGUGGUUUGUAAUUUUUCUUGUGUAGUGCAACAAUUAGUGGAUAUCAACUUCUGCAUAGUUCGAUGGCAACUGAUUCUUGUCACUUUCUUGGUAAUUAAUGUGUGCUGUGGGAUCUAGUUCACAAAUAAGUUAGAUGCGAGUUGAGAGUACAACCUACAGUUAUGAGACUCGGAUUACGAAUGAAGACUAGCAUUUGUUGUACCUGUUUUAGAUGAUGCAAGAAUAUUUCAACAGUGUCAUGCGUUGAUUAUCAUCUAUAAUACAGUUAAUUGGAGUAAUAAGAUUGCUAAUUUGUGGUUCGUUUUGUUUCGUAAAUAUAGGUGUGAAAUUUCAGUUGUUUAUGCUCUGCAGCAUCCAGACUCCAGUACAUCGUACUUACAUGUAUUUAAUUUGGAUAUACUAUUAUUAUUGUUGCGUCCGUGUUAACUUAAACUAGAUACGAACAACACUUUAACUUCCCCAUCAGUAUCUCUAGAAGCGUUAAUGAAUAUGCCGGGGAGCCCUGCUAGCGGUUCUUCUUCGGAUUCGGAAGGGAGAAAAGCGACUGUGGAAGCUAACGUGUAUAUACCGUUAGCAAAUGGGAAACGUGACCAGGAAACGGAAUCCCCGGUCAAUGCCGAAUCAUCAG